GUCCACAACCAUACCACCCUGAACAAGCCCAAUGUCUGAUCUCAGAAGCUAGCAGGGUCGGGCUUGGUUAGUACUUAGAUGGGAGACCACUUAGGAAGACCAGGUGCUGUAGGCA
rnacentral:rRNA from 1 species